GAUGAACGCUGGCGGCGUGCCUAAUACAUGCAAGUCGAGCGAACGGACGAGAAGCUUGCUUCUCUGAUGUUAGCGGCGGACGGGUGAGUAACACGUGGAUAACCUACCUAUAAGACUGGGAUAACUUCGGGAAACCGGAGCUAAUACCGGAUAAUAUUUUGAACCGCAUGGUUCAAAAUUGAAAGACGGUCUUGCUGUCACUUAUAGAUGGAUCCGCGCUGCAUUAGCUAGUUGGUAAGGUAACGGCUUACCAAGGCAACGAUGCAUAGCCGACCUGAGAGGAUGAUCGGCCACACUGGAACUGAGACACGGUCCAGAAUCCUACGAGAGGCAGCAGUAGGGAAUCUUCCGAAAUGGGCGAAAGCCUGACGGAGCAAAGCCGCGUGAGUGAUGAAGGUAUUCGGAUCAUAAAACUCUGUUAUUAGGGAAGAACAUAUGUGUAAGUAACUGUGCAAAUCUUGACGGUACCUAAUCAGAAAGACACGGCUAACUACGUG
rnacentral:rRNA from 1 species